rnacentral:rRNA from 1 species
ACGUACACUCCUACGGGAGGCAGCAGUGGGGAAUAUUGGACAAUGGGCGCAAGCCUGAUCCAGCCAUGCCGCGUGAGUGAUGAAGGCCCUAGGGUUGUAAAGCUCUUUCACCGGUGAAGAUAAUGACGGUAACCGGAGAAGAAGCCCCGGCUAACUUCGUGCCAGCAGCCGCGGUAAUACGAAGGGGGCUAGCGUUGUUCGGAUUUACUGGGCGUAAAGCGCACGUAGGCGGACUAUUAAGUCAGGGGUGAAAUCCCGGGGCUCAACCCCGGAACUGCCUUUGAUACUGGUAGUCUUGAGUUCGAGAGAGGUGAGUGGAAUUCCGAGUGUAGAGGUGAAAUUCGUAGAUAUUCGGAGGAACACCAGUGGCGAAGGCGGCUCACUGGCUCGAUACUGACGCUGAGGUGCGAAAGCGUGGGGAGCAAACAGGAUUAGAUACCCGGGUAGUCC